rnacentral:rRNA from 1 species
AUUGAACGCUGGCGGCAGGCCUAACACAUGCAAGUUGAGCGGAGCGGCGGAAGGGUGAGUAAUGCCUAGGAAUCUGCCUGGUAGUGGGGGAUACCGUCCGGAAACGGGCGCUAAUACAGCAUACUAUCAGCUGAGCCUAGGUCGGAUUAGAUAGUUGGUGGGGUAAAGGCUUACCAAGGAGACGAUCCGUAACUGGUCUGAGAGGAUGAUCAGUCACACUGGAACGUAGCUACGGGCCAGACGCCUACGGGAUGAGGCAGUGGUGAAUAUUGGACGAUGGGCGGAAGCGUGAUCCAUCCAUGCCGCGGGUGUGAAGAAGGUCUUCGGAGUGUAAAGCACUUUAAGUUGGGAGGCGUUACCUACAGAAUAAGCACCGGCUAACUACGUGCCAGCAGCCGCGGUAAUUC